CCUACGGGAGGCAGCAGUGGGGAAUAUUGUACAAUGGGCGAAAGCCUGAUGCAGCGACGCCGCGUGAGGGAUGACGGCCUUCGGGUUGUAAACCUCUUUCAGCAGGGAAGAAGCGAAAGUGACGGUACCUGCUGAAGAAGCACCGGCUAACUACGUGCCAGCAGCCGCGGUAAUACGUAGGGUGCGAGCGUUGUCCGGAAUUAUUGGGCGUAAAGAGCUUGUAGGCGGUUUGUCGCGUCUGCUGUGAAAAUCCGGGGCUCAACCCCGGACUUGCAGUGGGUACGGGCAGACUAGAGUGUGGUAGGGGAGACUGGAAUUCCUGGUGUAGCGGUGAAAUGCGCAGAUAUCAGGAGGAACACCGAUGGCGAAGGCAGGUCUCUGGGCCACUACUGACGCUGAGAAGCGAAAGCAUGGGGAGCGAACAGGAUUAGAUACCCUGGUAGUCCAUGCCGUAAACGUUGGGCGCUAGGUGUGGGACUCAUCACGAGUCGUCGCGCAGCUACGCAUAAGCGCCCGCCGUCGGGAGGUACGGCCGGCGACGGAACGUAAACCGUACUUAAAGUUAGUAAGUUAGUUACGGCGUUGAGACGNGCCGACGGACGACGACGAGGGAGGAGG
rnacentral:rRNA from 1 species